rnacentral:rRNA from 1 species
UACAGAGACUGCAAGCGUUAUUCGGAUUCACUGGGCGUAAAGGGUGCGCAGGCGGUUGGGUGUGUCAGAUGUGAAAUCCCGAGGCUUAACCUCGGAACUGCGUCUGAAACUACUCGACUAGAGUACUGGAGAGGGUAACGGAAUUCACGGUGUAGCAGUGAAAUGCGUAGAUAUCGUGAGGAACACCAGAGGCGAAGGCGACCACCUGGACUGAUACUGACACUGAGGUGCGAAAGCGUGGGGAGCAAACAGGAUUAGAAACCCCGGUAGU